rnacentral:rRNA from 1 species
CGCGAGCUGGGUUUAGAACGUCGUGAGACAGUUCGGUCCCUAUCUGCCGUGGGCGCUGGAGAACUGAGGGGGGCUGCUCCUAGUACGAGAGGACCGGAGUGGACGCAUCACUGGUGUUCGGGUUGUCAUGCCAAUGGCACUGCCCGGUAGCUAAAUGCGGAAGAGAUAAGUGCUGAAAGCAUCUAAGCACGAAACUUGCCCCGAGAUGAGUUCUCCCUGAGACUUAGAGUCUCCUGAAGGAACGUUGAAGACGACGACGUUGAUAGGCCGGGUGUGUAAGCGCAGCGAUGCGUUGAGCUAACCGGUACUAAUGAACCGUGAGGCUUAACCUUACAACGCCGAAGCUGUU